CCAUCCGCCCCUCUCGUGGUUCCUACGGUCCGUGUCCUCUGUGGCACCUCAAGUGCCCCCUGCCUGCCCCAGGGACAGCCACUCACUGGGCUCAGAGCCCCCUGACACACACACAGCAGGGGGCUUCGAGAGUCCAGGGAUGCCUCCUGGAGUCACGGCUCUGCCAAGCUCCCCAAAGUUGACUUGGUGGGGGAGCUGGCAUCCUGACUACAUGGCCGUGUUGACAGGACCAGCGAGCAGCCUCCUGGUAUCUGCUGUUAAUCCUCAUGACUGCUCUCAAACCUCUCAACUCUACUGAAGACACAGACACAGUCAUGCCCACAGCUCCACAGAGAGUUCCUACCUAAACACCCGUGCAACCAGCACGUGAUGAAGACACAGAUAUCACCAAGAACGGCUUGAUGCCUCCUACAGAAGUGUCCAUUGCAUGUUGGAAGUUCCUGAGCUGAACAGCAAGGUUGUUUGCCAUCUUCAUCUCCCUAGGCAAGACUGCCCUGGAAGAGCGAGUGAUGUGGAUGGAGACAGGGAAUACUGAGGUCUGCUGACGUCAGUCGAUGGCGGCCAUGUGGAUGGACGGCGGGCAUGUGGACGGACGGAGAACACCCAGCAUCAGCUGGCGCAGUGACAUCAAAGACUACGUUUCCUAGCCUCCCUCGCUGCCAGAUGUGGUCACAAGACUACGUUGGGCCCAGGAAAGAGGGAAGAUGGAGCAGGCGAACUGGGUGGGAAUUCCGGGAAUUCUCCACACAGGGGACGGGCCGUGCCCUGCUCUCCUUCGCUCCUUCCUCAUUCCUGGAACACAGAUGUGAAGGCUGGAGAUCAAGUUGCCAUCUGGGACCAUGAGGUAAGGCUGGGGGCUUCCCAUGGCUGUGGAGGCUGUCGUGCCAGCCCUGAGAAAGAGGAAACUCUGUGGAUUAGGUGGGUUAGGCAUGGUCGUCUGGGUUUUCUGGGGUCACAGGCAGCCUCUCCCUGGCCUCACUAGGACACACUAUGACUGUUGAAACCAUGACUCAUGAUUCACAUUGGGGGUAUGCCCUGGUCAAAGGAACAUGCGCUGGCAACAAGGAGUUUCAGAAUGAUCCAGUUCUUGGGUUGACACUUCUCAAAAGCCCCUAUCUUCCCCUGCCUCUUCUGUCUCGGGGAGGCUGUCUUCAAAAUUUCCCUAAAAACCCCUUCCCUGGCUGAGACCUGGGGCCUCUUGCCUUCUUACCAGAGCAGCUGUCCCCCAACAGAAACCUCAGGACACUUCCGCCUUUCCUCUUCCCACUUGGCCUGUCAUCCGGUCCCCACCCCCUGCUUGCAUCACUAACACCCAGGGGUGGGAGAGGCCAGGACAGAGCCCUCCUCCAAGGGAGCGAACAAGGAGUCAGAAAAGGCUGGGAAGACUUCUUCCGAGGGAUGGAAUCACCAUCUGAGCAGAGGGGCCCGGCGAGACGUGAAUACACAGACACACCUGAUGGAGGGAGGGAUGGAAUCACCAUCUGAGCAGGGGGGCCCGGCGAGGCGUGAAUACACAGACACACCUGAUGGAGGGGGGCUCCGUGCCUGGAAACUGACACACAGGAUUUGCCCUAUAGUCAUCAGCACAGAGGCAGAGUGGGUGACUUGUCAAAUCUGGGACAAUUUGAGCAUCAUCAAGAAUAAUGACUAGGGGCCGAGCACAGUCCCAGCACUUUGGGAGACCGAGGUGAGCAGAUCAUCUGAGGUCAGGAGUUCAAGACCAGCCUGACCAACAUGGCGAAACCCCGUCUCUACUAAAAAUAUAAAAAUUAGCUGGGAGUGGUGGUGGGCGCCUGUAAUCCCAGCUACUUGGGAGGCUGAGGCAAGAGAAUCGCUUGAACCCGGGAGGCGGAGGUUGCAGUGAGCCAAAAUCAUGCCACUGCACUCUAGCCUGGGCCACAGGGCAACACGUCAUCUCAAGAAAAAAUAAAAAUAAAAAAAGAAUAAUGACUAGGUUGGACAGAAACACUUGGAAGAUAUAAAAGUCCAUGAAUCCCACACACCCAUAUUCACAGCAGCCAAGCGACAUCCACCCAUCAACACCUGAAUGGCUAAACACAGAGACAUGGAAGGGAUGUUAUUUACCCUCAAAAAGGAAGGAAAUUCUGACACGUGCUGCAAGAAUGAGACUUGAGGACACUGCACUAAGUAAAAUAAGCCAGACAUCAGGACAAAAGGACAAAGGCUGUGUGAUUGCGCUUACGAUGAAGUACCCGGAGUAGCCGCGUGUAUAGAGCAGAAAGUGGAAGGGGCUGGGCGCAGGGAGGAAUGGGAUGUUACUGUGUAGUGAGGACAGUUUCAGUUUUACACGAUGAAAAAUUUCUGAAAAUGGACGGUGGGGGCGGUUGCAGAGCGUGAAUGUGCUUAGAGCCACUGACCGGUACACUUAGAAAUGGCUAAGAUGGUAAUUUUCAUCUCGUGUAAUUUUCAUCUUGUAUUUUACCAUAAAAUACAAAUCUAUGAGUCCUUAAUAAUCAAGAGAGAAGGCCAGGUGCAGUGGCACACACCUGUAAUCCCAGCACUUUGGGAGGCCAAGGUGAGAGGAUCACCUGAGGUCGGGAGUUCGAGACCAGCCUGACCAACAUGGCAAAACCCUGUCUCUACUAAUAAUACAAAAUUAGUCAGGCGUGGUGGCACAUGCCUGUAAUCCCAGCGACUCAAGAGGCUAAGGCGGG
rnacentral:lncRNA from 10 species